rnacentral:rRNA from 1 species
CACGUAGGCACCAAGCGUUGUCCGGAUUUAUUGGGCGUAAAGGGCUCGUAGGCGGUUCGGUAAGUCGGGUGUGAAAACUCUGGGCUCAACCCAGAGCCGCCACCCGAUACUGCUGUGACUCGAGUGCGGUAGGGGAGCGGGGAAUUCCUGGUGUAGCGGUGAAAUGCGCAGAUAUCAGGAGGAACACCGUGGCGAAGGCGGUCCG